rnacentral:rRNA from 1 species
CGGAUGACGGGAGCUUGCUCCUUGAUUCAGCGGCGGACGGGUGAGUAAUACCUAGGAAUCUGCCUGAUAGUGGGGGACAACGUUUCGAAAGGAACGCUAAUACCGCAUACGUCCUACGGGAGAAAGCAGGGGACCUUCGGGCCUUGCGCUAUCAGAUGAGCCUAGGUCGGAUUAGCUAGUUGGUGAGGUAAUGGCUCACCAAGGCGACGAUCCGUAACUGGUCUGAGAGGAUGAUCAGUCACACUGGAACUGAGACACGGUCCAGACUCCUACGGGAGGCAGCAGUGGGGAAUAUUGGACAAUGGGCGAAAGCCUGAUCCAGCCAUGCCGCGUGUGUGAAGAAGGUCUUCGGAUUGUAAAGCACUUUAAGUUGGGAGGAAGGGCAGUAAGCUAAUACCUUGCUGUUUUGACGUUACCGACAGAAUAAGCACCGGCUAACUCUGUGCCAGCAGCCGCGGUAAUACAGAGGGUGCAAGCGUUAAUCGGAAUUACUGGGCGUAAAGCGCGCGUAGGUGGUUCGUUAAGUUGGAUGUGAAAUCCCCGGGCUCAACCUGGGAACUGCAUCCAAAACUGGCGAGCUAGAGUAGGGCAGAGGGUGGUGGAAUUUCCUGUGUAGCGGUGAAAUGCGUAGAUAUAGGAAGGAACACCAGUGGCGAAGGCGACCACCUGGGCUCAUACUGACACUGAGGUUGCGAAGCGUGGGGAGCAAACAGGAUUAGAUACCCUGGUAGUCCACGCCGUAUACGAUGUCUACUAGCCGUUGGAAUCCUUGAGAAUUUAGUGGCGCAGCUAACGCAUUAAGUUGAUCGCCUGGGGAGUACGGCCGCAAGGUUAAAUCUCAUAUGAAUUUGACGGGGCUCGCACAAGCUGUGGAGCAUGUGGUUUUAUUCGAAGCAUCGCUGAGAAUCUU